rnacentral:rRNA from 1 species
UCGAGAAUCUUUCGCAAUGCCCGAAAGGGUGACGAAGCGACGCCGCGUGCGGGAGGAAGGCCUUCGGGUUGUAAACCGCUGUCGGGAGUUAAGAAAUGCAAGGAUGUUAAUAGCGUUCUUGCUUGACUAAGGCUCCGGAGGAAGCCACGGCUAACUCUGUGCCAGCAGCCGCGGUAAUACAGAGGCGGCAAGCGUUGUUCGGAAUUAUUGGGCGUAAAGAGCACGUAGGCGGCUGUGUAAGUCGGUUGUGAAAGCCUUCCGCUCAACGGAAGAACGGCAUCCGAUACUGCAUGGCUUGAGUGUGGGAGGGGAGAGUGGAACUUCUGGUGGAGCGGUGAAAUGCGUAGAUAUCAGAAGGAACACCGGCGGCGAAGGCGACUCUCUGGUCCAUAACUGACGCUGAGUGUGCGAAAGCUAGGGGAGCAAACGGGAUUAGAUACCCUUGUAGUCCCUGAGCGGGC